GGGCGGUGCGGGGUGCUAUACAUGCAGUCGACGCUUCUUUCCUCCCGGAGUGCUUGCACUCAAUUGGAAAGAGGAGUGGCGAGACGGGUGAGUAACACGUGGGUAACCUACCCAUCAGAGGGGGAUAACACUUGGAAACAGGUGCUAAUACCGCAUAACAGUUUAUGCCGCAUGGCAUAAGAGUGAAAGGCGCUUUCGGGUGUCGCUGAUGGAUGGACCCGCGGUGCAUUAGCUAGUUGGUGAGGUAACGGCUCACCAAGGCCACGAUGCAUAGCCGACCUGAGAGGGUGAUCGGCCACACUGGGACUGAGACACGGCCCAGACUCCUACGGGAGGCAGCAGUAGGGAAUCUUCGGCAAUGGACGAAAGUCUGACCGAGCAACGCCGCGUGAGUGAAGAAGGUUUUCGGAUCGUAAAACUCUGUUGUUAGAGAAGAACAAGGACGUUAGUAACUGAACGUCCCCUGACGGUAUCUAACCAGAAAGCCACGGCUAACUACGUGCCAGCAGCCGCGGUAAUACGUAGGUGGCAAGCGUUGUCCGGAUUUAUUGGGCGUAAAGCGAGCGCAGGCGGUUUCUUAAGUCUGAUGUGAAAGCCCCCGGCUCAACCGGGGGAGGGUCAUUGAAAACUGAGAGACUUGAGUGCAGAAGAGGAGAGUGGAAAUUCCAUGUGUAGCGGUGAAAUGCGUAUAUAUAUGGAGGAACACCAGUGGCGAAGGGCGGCUCUCUGGUCUGUAACUGACGCUGAGGCUCGAAAGCGUGGGGAGCAAACAGGAUUAUAUACUCUGGUAGUCCACGCCGUAACGAUGAGUGCUAAGUGUUGGAGGGUUUCCGCCCUUUCAGGUGCUGCAGCAAACGCAUUAAGCACUUCCCGCCUUGGGGAGUACGACCGCAAGGUUUGAAAUCUCAAAGGAAUUGACGGGGCCGGCACAGCGGUGGAGCAUGUGGUUUAUUUCGAAGCACGGAAAACCUUACCAGGUCUGACAUCUUGGACCACUCUAGAGAUAGAGCUUCCCCUUCGGGACAAUGACAGGUGGGGCAUGGUUGUCUCACUCGUGUCGGGAGAUGUUGGGUAGUCCCCACGAGCGCACCCUAUUGUUAAUGGCAUCAUGAUGGACACUCUACCAACUGCCGGACAACCGGAGAAGGGGAUGAUCUCGAUCAUUCAUGGCUUUAUUACGCUGGGCUUAC
rnacentral:rRNA from 1 species